UCAUUCACUACGGCCAAAAGAUUGUCACAAAGUUAAAACUCUACUGAGACACUCCCCACAAAUCAGAGAGCCAUGAGAGGCCAACACAGGUGCGAGCAAUCGAGCCGCCACCAUGGGGCGGAAACCGACACCGAUACAGAUUCGGAAACGGAAACAAUGCGGUGCAUCUCGUGCAAAGAAGAGUACAGCUCAAUAGACGCCGGCACGUGCAAAGAAUGCUACGAGGAAGCCAGCGAAACCGAGGAAGAGCUCAAACGAGAAAUCGAAGAUCUCAAAGCUAAGGUUGCCUUCUUACGAUUUUGGUCUCCGCUUGAUCACCACCACAGUAAUAGGUCUACUGGGCCUUCCCUCACCGACGUCGUUUUGAUCGCUUCUUCUGAUGACGCCCCUGUUCCUGUCCCCGCUCAUAAAGCUGUUUUGGUGAGCCGUUCCCCAGUAUUUCGAGCAAUGCUUGAGAACGAGAUGGAAGAAAGCCGGAGUGGCACCAUCAAGAUUAGUGAUGUGUCAUAUGAUGCCCUGCGCAUAUUCGUCAACUAUUUAUACACUGCUGAAGCAUGCCUUGAUGAACAAAUGGCAUGUGAUCUUUUAGUUUUGGCCGAAAAGUAUGAGGUGAAGUAUCUCAAGGCGUAUUGUGAGAAGUUUCUGGUGUCGAAAUUGAACUGGGACAAUUCGGUUCCAAGCUAUGCCUUUGCAUAUCAGCACAAUGCUAAGCAUAUGGCUGAAGCAGCGCUGUCAUUGAUCACAGACAACAUGGACAAACUUACUAAAAGGGAGGAAUACAAGGAUCUUGUGGAAAAGGAUCCGCGGCUUGUUGUGGAGAUUUAUGAAGCUUAUCUCUCUAAACAGGUUAACACAGCAGCACCAAGGAUUCUUUGAUGAGGCUAUUUUCAAAUGAGAAUCCUCCAACUGGCAUGAGGACCUUCCGAUGUGUCAUGAACAGCCGACACCCAACCCAUCGCGUUUGCUAUCUCUUCAAGUUCACCCAUAACAGAUACAAUGUCCCGUAUAUACACAGUCCCUCCUGGUCUCAGUAUCCUAUCCAUCUCCAGCAUUAUAGUAGACAUAUUGCAUUUUUGCCUAACACAAAAAACAAAAUAUUCACAUUCUUCAAUUUCUCUCUACCACUGAAACAUAAAUAUAUAAGUAUAACAGUAUGAAAGAUGAAAGUGUUGCUUGUAGUACCUUUUCUGCUCCACAGAGAACAACCUUGCUGCAUGUAGUAAAUCAUACGUUCUGGGGUACGUAUCGAAUGGCUCGCACCUGCAAUUCACAGAUUCGAGUAACUUCUAUCUGGCGGAUGAUGGAGGCGCGCCGGCCAUGUCGUAACAUUGCCUCCAUAACCAUCUUUAGGCAGUUUUGUUAUGCAUCCCUUCAUUCUCACAUACCUGCAAAAAGCACAACAGCUUAUGUUGCUCAAAUCUGUAUUUUCUAGCUCAUAAGCCUAUGAAGGAUCGAUGAGAGCAUACCAAACAUUGUCCGGAUCGUCGUUGGCUUCGCAUAACGGAGGUGUUGAUCUAGCUUCACGAUUAAGGUAGCAGCUGUUGUUUAAAGGCUUCUGCCAUAUGGCAAUAUAUCCUUCUUUUUUCACAAAUUUCCAACACAUGCUGCUGGUAAGUUUCUGCAUUUCUGUUUCAGUGUGCAAAUAAUUAAACAGAUUAGAGACAGUAAGAAACAGCUAUUUCUUAAAUUUCUUUUAGCAAACAAGUAUCUAAUUUUUAUUAUUUA